rnacentral:rRNA from 1 species
GGGAUUGCCUCAGUAACGGCGAGUGAAGCGGCAAGAGCUCAAAUUUGAAAGCUGGCCCCCUGCGGGGUCCGCAUUGUAAUUUGCAGAGGAUGCUUCGGGUCCGGCCCCUGUCUAAGUGCUCUGGAACGGGCCGUCGGAGAGGGUGAGAAUCCCGUCUGGGACGGGGAGUCCGGGUCCGUGUGAAGCUCCUUCAACGAGUCGAGUUGUUUGGGAAUGCAGCUCUAAAUGGGUGGUAAAUUUCAUCUAAAGCUAAAUACUGGCCGGAGACCGAUAGCGCACAAGUAGAGUGAUCGAAAGAUGAAAAGCACUUUGAAAAGAGAGUUAAAAAGCACGUGAAAUUGUUGAAAGGGAAGCGCUUGCGAUCAGACUCGCCCGCGGGGUUCAGCCGGCAUUCGUGCCGGUGUACUUCCCCGUGGGCGGGCCAGCGUCGGUUCGGGCGGCCGGUCAAAGGCCCUGGGAAUGUGUCGCCCUCCGGGGCGUCUUAUAGCCCAGGGUGCCAUGCGGCCUGCCCGGACCGAGGAACGCGCUUCGGCACGGACGCUGGCGUAAUGGUCGUAAGCGACCCGUCUUGAAACUCGGACCAAGGAGUCUAACAUCUACGCGAGUGUUUGGGUGGCAAACCCAUACGCGCAGUGAAAGCGAACGGAGGUGGGAACCCCUCGGGGCGCACCAUCGACCGAUCCUGAUGUCUUCGGAUGGAUUUGAGUAAGAGCGUAGCUGUGGGGACCCGAAAGAUGGUGAACUAUGCCUGAAUAGGGCGAAGCCAGAGGAAACUCUGGUGGAGGCUCGCAGCGGUUCUGACGUGCAAAUCGAUCGUCAAAUUUGGGUAUAGGGGCGAAAGACUA